ACGCCACGCAGAGGUGAAGAUACGCAGGACGUCCUCUAAAGCAACUUCCGUGGGUGCCAGGUUGUGGGCUGGGGGCGGUGCUGACCUUGAGAGAGCGGAGGAGGCGCAGGCGCAGCACAGGUACGUGGGCGGGCGGAUCGUGGUGGCUGCGCUUGCGAGGACCCUGAGGUAGAUUGGGUGGUUUCAACAGGAACGCAUCCACUGUCUGAGAGGUGGCAAUUGAAGCCGGAAGAACAUCUACCAAGAGCAGAGAACCCAGGAAGAAAAUUCUGCCUCUUUAAUACGUUCCAAUAUGGACGUUUUCCAUAUAGAUACCUAUCUAUAUAGAUAGAUGCUCUGGGAUCUGACGGUCCUGGACACCUGUAUGGCUGUGUGCUGUGGUCUUUGCCUAGCCUGCGGUUCACUUUUGCUCUGGCCACCACCUCCCCUCAUGUACAAACCGCGUCUCUGCUCUGCCAGUCUUGGCCCCCGUCAGGCAGCGGUUCACUCCCUCACCAGGGAAGUCUAGAUAGAUAGAUAUAGAUAGAUAUCGAUCGAUAGAUAUAGAUAUAUAUAUAGAUAGAUAGAUAGGUAGAUAUAUGGAUAGAUAUAGAUAUUUGGAUAGAUAUGUAGACGUCUAUCUAUAAAUAUAUCGAUAUAUCGGGGUUCUCAGCCAUCCCAAAGAAGCUUGCACAGGGCCAGUUGCUUUAUGUCAGGAAAAGGGACACAGACUGAGUGUAUGAGGGUUUUUUUUUUCUAUAGAUGUAUAGAUAUUUAUAUCAGAUGCAAAUAAGUGAAACUCUCAUACAACUUUUAAUUUUGUGUUUUUUCCAAACUCUAUUCCAUUCAACUUUUUCUGCCUUUUUAUUUGAUUAUAAUGAGACAUCGUACUGGAGGCAGGCUUGAAAUGGAUAUACAGAGCACUUUCAACCCAGAAAUUUGUCUCACGACUUGGGGUCCUUACUUAAGUUGUAGCUGUUAGUAAUUUCAUCCAUGAAUUCACUUUGUGCCAUAGUGUGAUGUUUUGUUAUGAAGUUGGAAUUGGGAAGGGAAACUAGGAAGUUUUGGGAGAAGUUAAGAAGGUUGAGUAGGCAGGCGUUGUUAUAGAUAUUAAAUUUCACCCUGCUUAUCAAAGUACCUGGAGCGUAUGGUAUCCAAGCUGUAAAUGGCCCAAAGGAAUCGGGGUUCUCAGCCAUCCAAAAGAAGCAUGCACAGGGCCAGUUAUUUUAUGUCAGGAAAGGGGACACAGACUGAGUGUAUGAGGGUUUUUUUUUUUGUUUUUUUUUUUUAGUUUAAACUUGAUUUUGUGAGGGGACGAACAGCGUGACAAUUAAAAGAAGAUCUGGGAAUCAAAAGCUUCCUGAGGCCUUCACCAGAAGCAGAUGCUGGUGCCGUGCUUCUACAGCCUGCAGAACUGAAGGACUUUACAGCUUCUCUUUCGCAUAUCCAAAUUGCCAGCAUCACCGCUCUUGCACUCCAAGCCAUUAUUAAGUAAAGUAAAGAACACAAACACUGUGAUACUGCUACACUUGAUCUGAUAACCAAGAAGUCUACUAAGUGACUAACAGCAGAGCAACUGGGAACCUAAUUCUGACCAAAAAGGAGGAAUUGUUUGGCUAAUUGGAAGUGACAGAAACCUUGGGAGAAAGCAACCGCAUACCAAGGAUAAUUAUAAGAAGAAGAGAAGACAUGGAGAAGAGGAGGGAGUAGUUGUGACCGUGGAGGCAGAGAAUGGAGUAAUGUGAUCAUAAAUCAAGGAAUGCUGACAGCCACUAAAGCUGGAGAAGGCCAAGGACAGAUAUUCAAUCCUCCCGUAGAAGUACAGCCCUGCUAAUGCAUUGAUUUUGGACUUCUGGCCUCAGAACUAUUUAUAUAUCAGCUUUUUAUCAGUUGAAAUAAACCACCCUGGGCCGGGUGCAGUGGCUCACACCUGUAAUCCCAGCACUUUGGGAGGCCGAGGUCUGGAAAGCAUGGAAAUUUGUAUCUUCAUUCACUUUUGUUUUCAUGGACUCUUUUCAUGUUUGAACUUUUCAUGAUCCAAUGUGAUAAUUUAUGUGAAAUCUUUCUGCAAACUAUACAGUAUGAUAAAAAUAUAAGGUAGUUUCACUGGAAACAACAGAAGACUAGAAGCUGAUGUGACGUGGCAAUAUCAACCAGGAAUACCCAUCUCGAGUUCUGGAUAUGUGCUCUGAGAAGGUGCCCAUGUCACCGACCACACUGGAGGCCAAUGCAGAUACUGGGGGAAGGUUCCAUGGUAGCUAAGUGUGGACAAGCUAAUCACUGAAGUUCCCUGAUGCAGAGUUGAUAAUCUCUCUAGAGUUGGAUGAAAGACUGUGCUGCCUUGAAGCUCUGAGAGAUGCCAUGCCAAUUCAAGGCAGGGUCUUUAUUGUUGAAACUCUUGCGUAAUGACAUCUUUAUUCAGGUGAAAAUACAGGAUGAAUUUCAACUAUAUGAUAUUGUUUAUGUUCCUCAGACAUGUUAUUUGUCUUUACAAAGAUUGGUUUCAAUAAACUGUGUGACUGAUAUUAAAUAAACAUGGAAUUUUACACAUUCAUAAUAUUUGGUUUCUUGUGAUUUUGAUGAACUAUACUUUCAAGCAUUGUCAGUUCAUCCUCAUUUACAAGGAAACAUUUGCUGUAGCAGAGUGAUGUAGUGACUUGCUUUACUUAAGAUAAGUCAACUUUUCUAUUCAAUGUUUAAUGUGAAACUGACUUAAAAAUUUUCUUUUAGGCCACAUUUACAUUUCUGUUUGUAUAACAUGCAUUAUACUAUUUUAACUUAAUACUAUGGCUAUAUAAACCAAAGACAUCCUAAUUCUGUUUUUAAUUUAUUGUUUUGCAAGAUAAAUAAUUUUUAAUGCACUAAUGAAGCUAAGGAGUUCAUAUUAAAAGACAUGUUAUAUGACCUACUGAAGUUGAGCUAUG
rnacentral:lncRNA from 1 species